rnacentral:tRNA from 1 species
UAUAAAGUAGGUUAAGUUAAACCAACGGGCUCAUGCCCCGUGCAUGCUUGUAAUAAUCGACCAAGUUUAGUGCUUUUUUAA